rnacentral:misc_RNA from 1 species
GGAAAGUUGUGGACUAUAGUACAUGAUUCUAUGAUUUUCUCCUUGAUACUGAUGCAUGUUAUAGCCAUUGGAAUAUUUGGGCUAAAGAAACUUCCUCUCGCUUCAAGCUUAACAGUUCCUCUUCCAAUCCUUACUCUUGUGUUCAACAGCUAUUGUAGGAGACGCUUCCUACCUAUGUUCAAGUCUUAUUCAGUCGAGAGUUUGCUAAAAAAGGAUAAAGAGGAGCAAAAUGAUCCUACAAUUGCAAGUUUUCAUGAGAGACUAGCCACAGCUUAUCAAGAUCCAGCACUGCUGCAUGUCGGAUAUUCUGGAAAUAAUGCAAGUAUCAUUGCCCCCCUUCUUGGUACUGCUGAAGUUGAUGCUUAGGGUGUAAUCGAGUUAUUGCUUACUGUAAUCAUGUAACACUUUUAGUUGGCAAACAUGUGGGUAUGUAGUUUGAGUUCAAUCUGC